CCAACAGGGAUUGCCCCAGUAACGGCGAGUGAAGCGGCAGGAGCUCAAAUUUGAAAUCUGGGGCCCCCGGCCUCCGAGUUGUAAUUUGGAGAGGCUCCUUCGGGGGGGAGCGCUGGCCCAUGUUCCUUGGAACAGGACGUCGCAGAGGGUGAGAAUCCCGUGCCAGGCCGGCUGCCUCCUCCCGCGUGAAGGGCCUUCGACGAGUCGAGUUGUUUGGGAAUGCAGCUCCAAGUGGGUGGUAAAUUUCAUCUAAAGCUAAAUACCGGCGGGAGACCGAUAGCGCACAAGUAGAGUGAUCGAAAGAUGAAAAGCACUUUGAAAAUAGAGUCAAAAAGUACGUGAAAUUGUUGAAAGGGAAGCGCUUGAGACCAGACUCAGACCCAGGCAAACACCGCGCCCCCAGGGGCCGUGCAAUUGCCCGGUGCUGGGCCAGCAUCAGUUGGCGUGGAGGGACAAGGGCGCGGGAAAUGUGGCUCCCCUCGGGGAGUGUUAUCAGGCCCGCGCCGGAUGCCGCCGACGCCGACUGAGGACCGCGCCUC
rnacentral:rRNA from 1 species